GAUGAACGCUAGCGGCAGGCUUAACACAUGCAAGUCGAGGGGCAGCAGGGGUAGCAAUACUCGCUGGCGACCGGCAAACGGGUGCGGAACACGUACGCUAACAUACCUUUUACUGGGGCAUAGCCUUCUGAAAAGAAGAUUAACACCCAUAAUAUCAAAUGACUGGCAUCAGUCGAUGAUUAAAAUUUAUUGUAAGAGAUUGGCGUGCGUCCUAUUAGCUAGNGGUAUGGGUAAUGGCCUACCAAGGCGACGAUAGGGUAGCUGGUGU
rnacentral:rRNA from 1 species